rnacentral:rRNA from 1 species
AACGAACGCUGGCGGCAUGCCUAACGCAUGCCAGUCGAACGAGACCUUCGGGUCUAGUGGCGCACGGGUGCGUAACGCGUGGGAACCUGCCCUUAGGUUCGGAAUAACUCCCCGAAAGGGGUGCUAAUACCGGAUAAUGUCUUCGGACCAAAGAUUUAUCGCCUUUGGAUGGGCCCGCGUUGGAUUAGCUAGUUGGUAGGGUAAAAGCCUACCACGGCGACGAUCCAUAGCUGGUCUGAGAGGAUGAUCAGCCACACUGGGACUGAGACACGGCCCAGACUCCUACGGGAGGCAGCAGUGGGGAAUAUUGGACAAUGGGCGAAAGCCUGAUCCAGCAAUGCCGCGUGAGUGAUGAAGGCCUUAGGGUCGUAAAGCUCUUUUACCCGGGAUGAUAAUGACAGUACCGGGAGAAUAAGCUCCGGCUAACUCCGUG